UGAUGUCGCUAAAAUCGCAUUGUGUUGUUAUCAUGUCGAAAGUUCGUGCUGCUUUCUUUUUCUUUUUUUCCCUUUGUUUUUGGAAUAAAUUCAACACCAUAUUAAAUAUUGUGAGCUUUCAACAAUGUCAGGUUUUCUCACCAUACUACAACUAAUGACUGAACUGUUUUCCAUCUAUCUGAUCAAUCCUUCUGAUCCUUCUACUGUGAAAAUCAUCUUUACUUAUCAUAUGUUUGAAUGAGAUACAGAAACAGGUGCCUUCAGCAGUGUGGAGUUAAAUUGCUGUUACACUGUGCUGUUUUUCUUGAUCACUUGAAGCAACCAAAAAGAGAAAUAUGCCGAUGGCUACACAAAUAGCAUCCAUAUAUUCUUCUUUAUUAAUCCACAGCCCUAAUGGGAUAUGUGAGCAGGAUAGCACCUCCCUGGAGUUACCCUAGCACGGUAAUGGAUCAAGGACUGACGCCGAUUAUCACCUUCAGAUCUGCAGAUUGAAGCUGUUUGUGGUGCGUUACUUGAUUCUUGGUGACGACGGGAUGAUCGUAAUUUGAGUUCAAUCUACAUACGGGCCGGCCAGUUGGUUUGUCCUUCACGCUUGAAGGUGGCGGGGAACAUAACGUGUAAAACUGUCAAUGCGGUGGUGUAGAGGUUGGGUGAGAAUUGGACGUGUUGAAUCAUUAUCA